UACAGAGGUCUCAAGCGUUGUUCGGAUUCAUUGGGCGUAAAGGGUGCGUAGGCGGCGCGGUAAGUCGGGUGUGAAAUCUCGGAGCUUAACUCCGAAACUGCAUUCGAUACUGCCGUGCUUGAGGACUGGAGAGGAGACUGGAAUUUACGGUGUAGCGGUGAAAUGCGUAGAUAUCAGGAGGAACACCGGUGGCGAAGGCGGCUCUCUGGACGGAUACUGACGCUGAGGCGCGAAAGCGUGGGGAUCAAACAGG
rnacentral:rRNA from 1 species